rnacentral:misc_RNA from 1 species
GGAAACUCCUGCAGAUUUCUGGUUAUGGGAAACAAUGGCGUUCGAGAUACCUUACGAUCAAAUAAGGGAACUCCAGAUCUCACUUCGCAAGGAAGCCGCUGUCGACUCUUACAAACCGGAAGACCCUCAACUUCCCGAUUUACCCUUGCUCCAGGACGCAAUUUCCGACCUCGACCUUUCUCCUCCGUACGUUCGAUGCAAGCACUGCCAAGGCCGGCUUCUCAGAGGCACUAAUUCCGUGAUUUGCGUCUUCUGUGGUAGACAGCAGAACAAUGGUGUUCCUCCUGAUCCAAUCAAGUUUACUUCUACUAUUGGUUGCCGUUGGUUUCUUCAGUAUCUCGACUUAGAUGGAUCGGAGCUUGUGGCACGAUCAAUUGAAGCAAAUGAAUCUAACAAAGGGCCAAAUACACCAGAAAUUGCGUUUUCCUUGUCUGAUCUUUUAGAUUUAGAAAUAAGAUGGCCUUCUGAACCUGAAAAAUUUGAGAGUAGUGUUUCUGAAAAGGCACCAGCUCAGUGGUUGGGUACUCUGAGUUUGGCUGGAGUUGAUCUGGACAACUUUUUUACUGAAGCUAAGGUAGACAUAAACGCUGUUCCUACAUCUACUGAGGAACAGUUUGCAUUGAAAAAACAUAAGGAUGCUGCUGCAAGUAAUCAGGGAAAUUUUAGCCUGUUUGAGAAUUUAAAGCCAUCUGAGGAAGUUCCUGCAAGGCCUAAGGAAGAUGAAAGUGGUGAAUCCUUUUCUGGUUGGGAGGCUGAUUUUCAAUCUGCUGGUUCUGGAACUCAACAACAGGAAUUGAAAUUAUCUGAUCCUUUUGUGGGAUCUGCUGGUAUCGGAACUCAACAACAGGAAUCCCAAUUAUCUGAUCCUUUUGUGCAAUCAUCUUUAGUUGAUCUUUCUUCCCACAUGGAUGAUGUUUUUGCACACGCCGGAAAAGAUUUAAUUGACAAUAAAACAAACGAAUAUACAACUUCUGCAUCCAACAUGAAUGACUGGUUAGAAGGUGAUCUAUGAAGUAAAUCCAAUACUGGGGUAGCUGUCCAGUAUGAUCAGUUUGAAGUUUCCUUAAAUGAAAAGGAUCACAGAACAUCAGGUAGCACAGAUAAUUUUUCUUCCUUGGAUAUUGAUUGGAUUCCACACACCACCAACAGUGGUAACAUGGCAGCUGAUAAUAGAACUGUCAAUGAAGAUGAUGAUUAGUUUGAUGCUUGGCAUGAUUUUACAAGCUCAACUCGUGUAUUAGUUCCUUCUAGCAAUUCUUUGAAACAAGAUGUCAAUCACACAGUGUCCCUUUGUUGAGCAGGCAUCCUUGUUCAGUGAAACUAGUAACUUAAAUGAUGUUGAUUUUGGUAGCUUUCUACGGCAGGAUUAUCUCUCAGCAACUUUUAAUGAUCAAAAUGGUUCUGCAGAAGUGAAUGCUGUGGUGCCAGAAAGUUCUGUUUCAGAUAGGACCAGUUGUCCCAUAAUGGUGGUCUUGCCUAUACAAAGUGUCAGGUGGUGCUUCAGGCAAUGGCCCCUCAUUUCCAAUAGUUGUUCUAUUAUCUGAAUUGAGAGGGAUAUUACCAGUGAGGGUAAAAGAGAAAAUCCACAAAGGAAAAGGAUGAACAGCACAAAUGGAACAGGAGGAGGAAGUGCUGAAGAAGUUGAAAAAUUUUCUAAUGAAAAUUCAAAGUCAAAAGCUGAUUAUGCUGAGAUGUUGAUGUCACAUAUGCACAGAUCUCGCCUUUAUGCUCGCAAGCAAUUUUUCGUUUACUGAUAAAGAUUAAUUCCCUUUUUUCCUCUUCUAAAUAAAUUAAUUUCUUUUACUUUCACAUCGUAUUAGUGCAGACUCCAGCAAAUAUGCUAUCAGAAAGUUGAGCAAGCAUAAAAAUGAACAUUGGCGAAGUCCACAUAUUAGGCAAAUUUUCUGCUCGCUUCGGAAAAGGUAUCAAGUUGAAUCUACAUCCUACUGUUAAUCUAACUCCUCAGACUUAGCUUACCGGGUAUCAAUGUUGAAAAGAGGUUGCAGUAGCUUAGCUUACAAAAAACCUACACUCUUUAAUGUUAUGUAUUAGAAUCAGUGGCGGAGGCCCUUUUGCCCCCAACUUCAUAAAAA